UGUUCUAAUAAUCUUAGCUUAAGCCAUGCUUUUUCCAACCCAACGUAACCUAAUUGCCGAUCUUUUUUUUUCCACUGUACACACGCCCUAUUUCUCCUCCUUCUCUCGCCGCGCGUAAUCGCUCAUGCCUUGCAUCGUGCUCACCAUCGUGCUCAUGCCGACUCUUUUUCUCCCUAAUCUGUUCUCACCAUCGUGCUCCUCUCACCCACGCUCACGCAUCCCAUCGUCGUUCCUCUCCCUUUCUCCUCCCUAACCUGCUAUCGCCGUUGCCGCUCUUCUUACCCAAUCUCAUCCAUCCCUGUUGCUUCUCCUCUUGCCAUCGCUGCUCCUCUCACCCAUGCUCACGCAUCCCUGUGGCCGCCGCUGCCAGCCACCGCUGCCGUUGCCAGUCGCCGCUGCCAACCGUCGUCGCCGCCGCCGCCGCCGCCGGCCUCCAUUGUGCGUCUCCACCAUAAUUCCUCUGCAACACUGCCUCCACCGCUAUGAACAAUAGAGGCAAAAGAGACUAAAGGAAGCAUACGGUGGAAGUUUUGGUCUAAGAAACUUGAGGCUUUAAAGGUGUUUUCUUGUAGAAUUAUUAUGGAUAAGAGCUAGAUCUUUUUACCAAGACAAACUGAGUAUAGAAAUGGUGUUCAAAGGCAAAGGAUAAUGAAUCAGACCACUGAAAGGACAUCUUUUUCUCAAGUUCUACAAAAAUUGGUAAAUAUUCUUAUCAUGUUAUAAGUUUAUGUGCAUUUGAUUAUAGAAACUAGUAAUUAAAUAUAUUUUCGGGAAAAAAAGAAAAAGGGCAUCCUCCAACACAAGUUGAAUUAUUUCAUGCCUAUUUUAUGUGCCUAUUUUUCUCGAGUUGUUUGGUUUUGAGAAACAAAAUGUUUCUAUCCGAAUUGCAGUUCCACAAACAGUAGCUACAUGUAGCUUUUAAUUCAUUGUUUGGUUUUGAGAUUCAUUGUUCAUGUAGCUUUGAAUUAACAUUGUUUGGUUUUGAGAAACAAAAUGUUUCUAUCCGACUUGCAGUUCCACAAACAGUAGCUACAUGUAGCUUUUAAUUCAUUGUUUGGUUUUGAGAUUCAUUGAUUUUGAGAUUCAUUGUUCAAUUUGCCUGCCUCCCUGCCCUCUCCACACCAAUUAACAUUUACUUUUCUCUUUCAGUUUUUCAUAUGUGAUUUCUUAAUUAAAGCAAGUGAUACAGUGACAUUGAUUGUGAAAUCACUGAUCUAACAACACUAAAUUCGAGUUCUUACGUGCCAAUCUGCUAGUUCUAGCUUUAUAAAGACAUGAUUGAGUUAUUAUUUGAAAUCUUAAACCAUUAGUAUGAAUCUCAAUUUAUGUACUUAUUAUCUGACAAUAUCAAUUGAAACAUAGAUUUGUUGGUUUAGGUUACAAAAACUUACAGCACACAAACAAACUGAAGCAAGCUUUAUUCUCUUCAAUGGAAUUCAGAUACCUCUCUCUCUAUAUCAAAUGAUUUAUAUAUACAUGCAAAAAUCUAUGUCGCACACCUGUUAUGGCAACUAUUUUUUUUUCUUUCUUUCUUUCUUUCUUUCUUUCUGGUUCCAAUAUCUACAUAUUUAAAGCUGAGGAGGAGGAGGUUGUAUAUCAUGCCAAGAGCCAAAGCCGCUGGCUGAGAAUAUAUGGCUUUCCUCUUUGUUUGAUGAUCCAUGCAAGCCAUGGGUUUGGCUCUCACAGUCGUUUUUGGACAAAGUGGUGCCAUUAAGAUAUUCUGACCAUUUCAAUUCCUCUGGCUCACCAUUGAUGUGGAUCGGAACACCUUUGUUGGGCAGCAACUCCAGCCAUUGGAGGAUGCCACCGUCAAAAAGAACACCAGAGCUCUACAACUCAAACUCACUUCCGCAGGAAUUGCUUGCCCCCAAGUCAUGGAAGCUGGUAGGGAGAAUCAUGUUCGAGAUUGAUGAAACAACAGGUGGCUCCAUGGACAGUGUUGAUGGAUUUGGCUCAGAAUUCUCCUGCAAUAGAUUCGACGAACUUGGGGCCAAGGAGUCACUGCACAUGGUUUCCGCAACCUGAUGCGCUUCAACUGCGUGUUUUCUGGAAUUGAUUCCACUCUGCAUCAGCUUCUUCUUGAUGCAUGAGUUCCAGUAGUUCUUGAUCUCAUUAUCUGUUCUCCCUGGCAACUGGGCUGCAAUUUGAGACCACCUGAUGAUGGCGAGAAAAGAAAAAUAGUGUGAAAAAAAAAAGAUGUAUUGUGAUGAUGGUUGCAAUAGGUGACUGGGCUGCAAUAGGAGACAUGUAUUUGGAUUUUGCAUAUGAUGGUUGAAGAUGGUUGAUAGUAAAUUAGUUGGUUUUUUAUUUUAUAAGACUUAUUUUAUUUAGUUAGCAUUGGAUUCAAUACUUUUACAUUAGUAAUGCAUUUGUACUUUUGUGACGA